UUUAGGUUCAAAAUGUCACCUCAUGCUCAA
rnacentral:piRNA from 1 species